rnacentral:lncRNA from 1 species
CUUCCCUGAACCCACCAACAUUCUCUUUCUUUUUAGAACCUCCAUAGCCCUUUACUGCCUAUGCCACUUAAUCAAACUCAGACUGAGUCAGUUUGGUUUGCUAUAACAAAACACCAGACACAGAAUGGCUUAUCAACCACAGACAAUUUUUUCUCAUGGUUCUGAGACCAGGCUGUCAGCAUGGGCAGGUUCUGUGAGGGCCCUAUUCAGAGCUGCAGAUGCACAUGUCCUUGGGCUGUCACUUGGCAGAAACACAAUGAAAGAGCUCUCUGCAGUUGCUUUUAAAAGGGCUUUAAUAUCAUUCAUGAGAGUUCCCCCCAUGGCCUAAUUUGUCACCCCUAAAAGCUCUGCCUUCUGGUACCAUCCCCUUGAGGGUUAGAAUUCACUCUUUGAAUCUGGGAGAUUGGAGUGAUGCAAAUAUUCAGUCCAUCUCACAGGCUGCCCUGAAUUCCUGGGGUUUGAAAAAUUCCAGGUCCCUCUGACCUUCCUCCUUGAUAUAAUUCCCUCUAUGCCUUUUUCCCUUAAACACAAACCAGGUCUGUCCCUUAAUUCUCAUAGUGAAGCUUCGUGUGGUCAGAUGGACUAACAAUGCAGCUGAGUAAUGCUAGGUACUGUUGGUCUCAGCCUCCUUAGCCCAAGCCCCUCUAAGCAGAGCCCUGCCCUGCCAUUUCUUGCCGAGCCCUCAUCUGUCUCCCAGCUGUGAUGCUCAACAUUUUUACUGCCC